rnacentral:lncRNA from 1 species
UAGACAAGAGCCUAUAAUCCAGAGCCAAGAACUUCUAACAACACGGGUUGGGGUAUUGACUGACUUCUGAGCCAUACAGAAACAAGCUGAACUGCGGGAAUCUCUCUCCACAGCAUCUGCCCUUCGCUUCCUUCUCUCAGGAGCUGCCACAGCCAGAACUUUGUUGCUCAUUCUCAUGCCCACAGAAGUAACCUGGAAAAUGUGCCCUGCUCAGGCGGCCUCUCACACCCUCGCUGUCUUCUCAGUCCUGCCUCUGUUGCACAGCCUCAGGGACCCUCAGCCACAGCACCUGCACUACGACCAGGACGGGACCUGGAGCCAAGCUCACGCCCAAAUGACUCAGGGCCACCCCAGGGACAGACGCAAAUGUCAAUAAUCCCACAGCAGUCAGGGCUACUCAACCCUGGAGACCAAAUCCCCAGUCCAAGGUUACACACUUAGAACAAGAAUGCACAGACCAGGCUGAGAGUCAAUAGACCAUGCCCAGGGGAACAGCAGGAAGGCGAGGCUGCUCGGGCCAUCCCUGGCACAAGGUGCCCAGUAUACCAGAGUGGUGACUGGACUGGCUCUACAUGUAGAAUGGGUGUGAAAUGUCAUUGUCAAGAAAACAAGUGAUCAGUUGUCUUGGGAAAAUAAUGGGCCCUUCAGGACACAGCCCCCAGCAUUUCCAAAGAAGUUGGUGGCUUUGCUGGCUGGGAAACGGUCCCCCUGGAUAUGUCAUUUGGCUGCUUGAACAGGCAAGUCCAGUUGGCAAAAACAAAGAUCUGACACCUCUCAGGAGCCCUGGAUGCUCUGGCCUGUCCUGACAGGACAGCAGCCCUGGAGACCCACUGUAGGAAAGGUGCACUCUAUGAAGUGGCUCGAACUAGCCCAGGCACUAGCACAGGGGAGGAUUCUUGCCUUCAUCUCUGAGGCUAGCGAGUCCCUAGCACAGCAGGCCCCGCAGACAAGCUGCCUAGUCUGAUGUACUUGGCAGAGGAUUACAAAUUUUAGGGCUAGCCCUGUCCCUGGUGUCCUUUCUAUGUCCUUGGGCACGGGUGGGUACAACUUAAAAUAACAGAAUUCCUGUGCUUCCUACAGGAUCUAUGUCCUUGAAGACUGGGUGGGCACUAAUGGCUGGGAACUCUGGAGCUUGGAUGGUCAAAGUGCAAUAACCCUAAGUCAGUGUUCCUCAGAGAAAUCACAGCUAUCCCUGGGGAUCCACCAGUAGGUUAGGAAAAUGGCCAGUGGCUGACAGGAGAAAAUGGUGGGAGAAGAAAUGUGAGGAUCUAUAAUUAGGUACAAAUAAACAACCUCACUCCUGGGGCUGAAGAAACUAUUUAUGGAGGAAAACAAAUGGCAUGUGGCCACCCACUCUUGAGACCUCUUGGCCCCAGCCUUAAGGACAAAGGGGCCAAAGUGUGAUGUGGCUGCCAAAAACUGUUUGUGUAUGAGCCAAGCACUGUCUCAAGCACAGACUUGUGGCCCUCCAUGUCAAAGAAAUGUGACCAAAGCCUAGGAUAAGGAGGUAGAGACAGACAAAGUUGGUGGAUCCAGCCCUAGGGUUUGGGGGUGGGGCAAGGCUCCAGACUACUAUACUUCCUGAGUUCCUACGGGUGGCAAAGAGAGCCACAAAGUGACAAAAUCAGCCCCUGUAAACACUUUUAGUGCAACCAUAGAUUUUUUUUUCCUUGAGACAAGGUCUUGCUACAUAGCAUAGGUUGACCUUGAAUUUAUCUUCUUGCCACUGAAUAUAAGAUGACUCUCCAAGGCUGACCAGGUCACCACCAUUGUUAUAAUGGCUGACCUGCCCUAAGCCUGAGCCUCUGAAGGCUGUGAGUCUCAAAAGGGACUGGCAGGUGCAGUGUAUUCACAUUCUGAGGGAUUUGCCAUAUACAGGCAAGUGAAGAUAGUGGCCUGUCUGCUGCUAGCUCUCUUCCCUUUUCGUUUCCUAGCACUCCUUUUUCUAAUUUAAUGGUUUAAAGUCUGAAUGGAAAGGACAAAUGUUAAUCCUCAGAUGAGAUGGAAGGAAUGGAGAGGACACCUAGGGUAAGCACAGACAGAAUGCUAACCUUGGGGGUUAGGCAGCUACUGUGACUUACUGAAGAAGGUACCUGCCAGACCAGGAAAGGAGGCCAGUGGGGGAGGGCAGUCGGGGCAGGCGGCCACUCCCCCACUGCCAGCUGCUGCAGGAGCUGAUUGGUGCUUCCAGGAAGUGAGUUCUGGAGACAAGUACCAGUAAUGGCAAAGGAGUUCCAUUGCCCCUGACCUAGUAACUGCUCUUCUGGGAACGCACAUCAAGGAACUAGCCCACAGGGCAAAGAGAGGACUAGGGCACACAUUCAAUGCCAGGCUAUUUAUAACAGUAAAAAGCCGAAAACAAGCAGGGAAUGAUCACAGAUGCCUGGAUGUGCUGACUGGAAGAGAACAGAUCCCCUGCCCUGCCUAGAAGCUUCCUCUGGGUGGUCUGAGUGGGGACAGGCCCCUAACAGAGCAGGAUUUGAAUCUGUCCCACCCAUCACCAGAGAGCCUUUCAAAUCUCUGGUCUCCAAAACCUUUCCAAAACGUACUCUGCCUCUAAAGUGAUACCCGGAAUCUAACACCUGCUAAUUGGUCUCACAUCUGGAUAGAGCCCACUCCCAGCCCAUGGUGCUGUGUGGUAAUCAUAUCUUUGCAGAAAUCUGUCUGGCUCCAUCUCAGGAGCCUUUUGCCCCAAGGAUACCCCAGUACCUCCACAGUCCCAAGAUGCCAAGGCUAGCUUUGAGGACCAGGACACACUCCCAGAAGGGCAAAGGUAUGUCCCCUGAGGAUCCAGGAGUUAGCUCUCAAAAUCAUUCACUAUCAAUCAGGGAGUCCAGCAUGAAUGGUUAGAGGACCCAAAAGCUCAGUUUGGCAUAGAAGGUGUCACAAUGCCAGAGAUCCCUAAAUAUGCUCAUCAGAAAAUGAGGAACCCCAAUGACACGGACAGAGGCUCACUAAGUAGGAAAGCUCUUCCUGUAAUUGGAUACAUAUGUGUUGAAGGAAGGAGGUAUAACAACUGUCUUUUCCAUAUCUAAGCUUCAAUCUUUGCCCCUAAACUUAACCUCUAAGUGGUAAGAUCUGUCUUGGGCUCAACCUUGCUCCACCCUUAGGAACCUGCCUUUCUGAACUUGUUUCCCCCCCCCGCCCCCCCCACUUUUUUUUUUAAAGACAUACUAUGGAUGUGUAACCUAAGUUAGCUUUUAAAAAAUUUAAAAGAAGCCGGGCGUGGUGGCACAUGCCUUUAAUCCCAGCACUUGGGAGGCAGAGGCAGGCGGAUCUGUGAGUUCGAGGCCAGCCUGGUCUACAAAGUGAGUGCCAGGACUACACAGAGAAACCCUGUCUCGAAAAAAAAAAAAAAAAUACAAGAAAAAUCUCAUUCUGUUGACUUGCCACUCCCACCUCACCCGUUUAUGUAGACCAGGCUUGCCUUGAACUCAUGGAGCUCUGUCUGUCUCUGCUUCCUGAAGCUGGGAUUAAAGGUGUGUGACACCACACUCUGCUAAAUUACACGAUUUUUUUUCAGUUUAUCUCUAUAUGUGAUGUGGAGUACCUGUGACGGGCAGAAGACAAUUUGCAGACUCUCUUCCACCAUGAAGGUCCCAAGAUUGAACUCAGGUCAUCAGGCCUGGCAGUGUACACAAAUACCUACGCUACCUCACCAUCCCAGAUUGGCUCUGAACUGCAAAGAAAUCCUGUCUUAAGUCAGGGUUUCUAUUCCUGCACAAACAUCAUGACCAAGAAGCAAGCUGGGGAGGAAAGAGUUUGUUCGGCUUACACUUCCAUACUGCUGUUCAUCACCCAAGGAAGUCAGGACUGGAACUCAAGCAGGUCAGAAAGCAGGAGCUGGUGCAGAGGCCAUGGAGGGAUGUUCUUUACUGGCUUGCUUUCCCCUGGCUUGCUCAGCCUGCUCUCUGAUAAAACCCAAGGCUGCCAGCCCAGAGAUGGUCCUACUUACAAGGGGCCUUUCCUCCUUGAUCACUAAUUGAGAAAAUGUCUUACGGUUGGAUCUUAUGGAGGCAUUUCCUCAACUGAAGCUCCUUUCUCUGUGGUAACUCCAGCUGUGUCAAGUUGACACAAAACUAGCCAGUACAUCCUCCUACCUCCAACUCUGAGUACUGGGAUUGCAGGUGUGCACCACUACUGGCCUGUUUCCUGGAUAAUAUGGGCUGUAUAAACUAAUAAGGAGGAGUAAAAGGGACCAUUAUUAAAAAGUUUCAGAAUAGUACAGGUACUGCAUUUAACGUUGUCCAUGUGUGGUUUUUCUUUUUUUCCUUUGAGAAAGGGUUCCAGUAAUCCAGCCUGGCCUCUGCACUUUUGAUCUUCCUACCUCUGCCUCCCAAGUGUUGCGACUACAGGCCUGCACCAUCACCAAGGCGGUGUUAGUGAUAAAAUCCAGGGCUUUGAGCAUGCUGCUGCUAGGAAUGCUACCAACUGAAUCACUUCUCCAUGAAUAUCAAGAGUUUGAACUAGUCGACAGACAGGCCCCAAUCUACCCAAUUCCAAAGCACCAUAAUAUAGGGUUCCUGCACAUGAUCCAGGCUCCACUCCAAGGUAGGCCCCGGGUGUGUCAGUCAGUCCUAGAAGGCUCACACCAAUCAGGCUUUGUGGGCACGCCCACAACCUUCUCCUUCGCCUUAACACCAGCUACAAUCCUGCUUUCAACGCAGUCCGCCCGCCAAACCCAGGAAAGCCCCGCCCCUCGGGACGCCCCGCCCCAACGGCCUCUCCUACCACCUCGGGCCCCACCCCCCCAAGGCCCCGGCCCCGCCCCGGCGCAUCCGGGGUCCGUAGGCCUCGCCGAGCCUCCCUUUCCUCACCACUGCGUACUAGGGCCCGAAGCCUAGCGAACUCCACUUGCCCCGGCUUCCUCCGACUCCCAGCCCGGAUAGGCCCCGUUGAAGUCCGGGCCUCCACCCUGAGCUCUCUGUUCCUGUAGCACGGCUUCGGCCCUCCAGUCGCUACCGCCACCUCGCCUGUCUGUACCCCACAAGGCGCACCUUUGAAUAGGUAAUCGUACUCGUCGUCCCGGGUCCCCAUUGUCCUGGCGCUUCCGGCGGGAUCGGCGACUCCGCAGCCCCACCACAAACACCCGUCGGGGGCGGAACCGGCGCCGCGUAGAGCGGCGGUCUAAAGGCCAGUCAACGGUGAAAGCGGUAGUGACAGGCACCUGGACAAGCCAAUCAGGCUGAGAAACCGAGCUCGGGGGGUAGGAGCCUCCUGGGAUCCACCCUUCUAGCCCUCGGUCUCCCGGAGAAAGGCGGAAGGAAUGCGGACCUUUUUGAAAUGACAGAUUCAGCAGCCUAUCAAAAGCAGAUGGGGGAAGGCGGGACGGAACACUUGAACAAUGAAGUGGAUUGACAGAGGUCUCCCUGCCUAGAACCUGAUAUUUAACACUGAGAGAUCCACCUGGCUCUGCGCCGCUAAACACGCCACCUCGUGCUAGCCAACUUUGAACUUAUGAUUCUCUUGUACACUGGUAACUUGGAAGUUACCUCUCGGGGGCUGGAGAGAUGGCUCAGUGGUUAAGAGACUGACUGCUCUUCCAGAGGUCCUGAGUUCAAUUCCAAGCACAUGGUGGCUCACAACCAUCUGUAAUGGGAUCUGAUGCCCUCUUCUGGUUUGUCUGAAGACAGAUACAGUGUACUCG